AGAAGUGGGCUCAUGCGUCCGGGGCCUCUGCUUUUGUGCAGCUCCUCAACCCUCUGCGUUGGGGCGCUAUGGCUUCACCAGGCCGUGGGGUGAGAAGACGUUCAGUUCUCGCGCAGUUCUCGAUUGGAGUCCGAGUACGCUGUUUCGAACGUACGAGCGACGUGUGCCCCUGUGAAUUAGACGCGGGGAUUUGAAAAGGAGAUGUGCGCUUCGGGGAUUUGAAUCUGAGGCUCGUGCACCGAGGGUUGGAAUGCUAUCAUGCAGCCGGCGGGACUGAGACCGACUCGUUUCCUUGUAGAAUUCCUUUAUUUGUGCUGGGAAUUAUCCGUAGAUAGCGAUGGGUUGGGAGCUCGCCACUUCACGCCUCGUGGCCUGCUGUGUCUUGCUCGGAAUCGUCUAAAUGCUGCGUGUAAUGUCGCUUGAAGUGCAGUUAUCUCGCGCUUGGAGAGAUUUUACAACACCGCGGUGGUCGAUGCAGUUGGUAAAGAGCUCAUCGCAGUGAGCACGGUUGCGAAAAGUGCUUGGAAUGCAAGUUUGCGAGGUCUCAUGUCCGCGCGUCGUAAUUUGUGUUGUUGGAGCAUUUAAGUUUCUGCACCCCUGCUUCUUCUUCUUCGUCCUCCUUCUCCCGAUACUUGUCCAUGGAGACGUAUCCGUGAGCAUGAUUUUGGCAUGGUAUUAUUUCGUGCAUGGCGGGAUAUGGAGUUUUUAGUUUAACAGAAAGUGGAGUGGCAUUGUCGCCACGAAGCGACUCUAUUCACCUCUUGUGUGGAAUUGUGGGAGGUGUGAAGGGAUCUCUUUCAAUUUUGCACCCCAAGUCAUGCUUUCGAAAUUGGAUAGUGAGUUUUCCAACCUUGUUAAACUCAUCUGCACUUGCAAACGGAAUCGCAAUGCUUCUUGGAAAUGACCCGCAAAAGGAUUGACUGUGUCGCUUGCGUGCAUGUUUGGCGAUGUAGACGAAGCUGCUAUGGAAGCCAAUACUUGUAGCAAAUCCUACCGACACCUAAAUUUGAGAUCAUUAAUGCGAGCUGAGGAUGACAGCACGUUCAGUGACGUUUUACUAUAGGGUUAUCGUAUAUGCGUCAGCAUUCAGGUCCAACUUAAUGCAGUUGCAUGCGAGUCGUGUAUGGUAUUAGAUUUAGUUUGAGAAUUGUAGAAGCCGAGAGUUUGGGUUUGGUGUUAGACGCGCAUCGUGCAAAAUUCUUAAAUAAUCUGCUUGUGAGACACGUUUGUCAAGGUUGACGGUUUGAGAAAUUUGUAGUGCGAUGGCUGUGCAAUCGGUUGGACAGCUUAGUCACAGAAUUGCAAUGCUGGCGGUAGCAGCGCAAGGAGUUAUGAAUACGAAAGACCUCCCUACACACGUUGUUCUGGUGGAUUUUGCGAAUACAAUGGGAGAUCUUGCAAUUUCUUUAAAGGAAUUGCAGAAAGAUCUAGAGAUUCACUUCCAAGCGGAACCCAUUCAGUUUCAGCAGCACGACAUAGAGGCUGAGAUGACGGUUGUGGAGCAGCUGGUGAUGGCUCAUAAAGCACAAAGCCAGCUGUCCUCUCUCUUGAGCUGUCCAUUUCUCCUUACGAAGUUGCAAAAUUUUAGAGGAAAUUUGAGUAGGGGCCUUGAAUGCAUUCUUCCAGAUACUUGCAGCGAAUUGGUCAAAUUGCAGAUAUCUCGAACGCAGCAACAGCUGAAAGACGGCCCUCCCAAGCUAGGGCUGAAAGAACAAGCUGUGAUAGACUUAUUAGGCCAGAUCACUGAGACUUCUACGCCUCUAAAGUGUAAGGAGCUCGUGGAAAGUGUUGCAGAUUAUUUGGAUGUUGUCCCUGGGGAUUCCACAUUUGCUGAUCUACUUGAAAACACAAAGAAGGACAUUUCGAAGGUUGAUGUGUGCGACAGCGGUACAUUUUCAACGUACUUGGAGAACUGCAUCAAGGUGUUGGAGAAGGGUUUAAAUUUUCAGCAGGAGCCAGCUGAAGGCAACAACGGUGCUCUUUUAAAUUUAUUAUCGCCCCCAAGCAGUCAUCGCACUAUGAGAGAAGUUGUUGCUCCCUCGUCGCCGCUCUCUUCUUUCAUUUGUCCAAUCACUAAGCAGAUCAUGAAUGACCCCGUACAGAUUGCCUCCGGCCAGACUUACGAGCGGGCUGCUAUUGAACAAUGGUUCAAAGAUGGCAAGACCACGUGCCCACUCGGGAAGAAGCUGAAAAACACUAAGAUGAUGUCGAAUUUCGCGCUAAAGCAGUCAAUUGCCGAGUGGCGAGAGAGAAACUAUAAUAUUCGUCUGGACAAUGCUGAAUUUCGGCUAAGGUCGUUUCAGCCCAUGGAGCAAAUGCGCGGUGCACGAGACAUCAAGUUGCUUUGUGAGGAGGAUGGAAUCAACAAAUAUGGUAUUGCGUCCAGAAAGAUGAUCCCUCUUUUGAUUCAGUUGAUUGAGACUACCGAUAGUCCCACGAACCUGCGAGAGCUCUGCUUCGAUGCAUUGACUGCUCUUGCUCUGGAUCACCAAGAAAAUCAGGAGACUCUAGUGUUUGAGGGGUUAAUUGACUUGUUGGUACGUAGUCUUCGAAAUUACAAUGAAGCGGAACCGGCUAUCAACUUGUUAAAAGUGUUGUCAGGUAAUCCCAAAGCAGCAGAAAUGAUCAGCCGGACGCCCAAUGCAGUUCUACUGCUUGUUACUUUCCUGGGGCACAAGAAUGAGAACCUAGUCAUCUCCACGAAGGGGAUUCUGGUGAACCUACCGACCACUGAUGAGAAUGUUGUGAUCAUGGCGGAAGCAAACCUCAUGAAACCCUUGGUCGUGCGGCUAGUUGAAGGAGAAAGAGAAUCAAAGAUUCUGAUGGCAAGGACUCUGGCUCGGUUAGAGCACAUGCCUGAUAGUAGCAGGAGCUUGGCUAGCUCUCGUGACGCUAUCAAGACAUUGAUCAACAUGGCAAACUCUGAGGACGAGGAAGAAGUCGAUGCUGCAAUUCUUGCCCUUAAGAAUCUUUCUACUGCUCCCACUGCUGGUGUCGUGAUUGCUGACUGCAUAGGACUGGAGGUUUUGAUUAGGUUGCUUAGCUCCAAAAAGAUAUCAGUGGUGACGAAAGUCGGCGCCUCUCAUAUUAUAGCUAAUGUACUGGUCGCCAUUGGUAACCAGUGGGUACGAAGUGAAGAUAUGGUUGCCGACCUCGACAACUUCGUUGAAACUUUCUUUCUUUUAAUAUCAAGUGUCUCCACACCACUGGCAGCACAAUCUCACUUGCUCCAAGGUCUUCUGGGUCUCGUAGAAGGGAAACACACAGGUCAAGUUGUCAAAGAUAUAAUGAUAAGAAGAAACGCUCUGUCGGGUUUGCUUUCCCAUUUUAGGAAAAAAGAGCUAGAAGCAAGGCGAGAUUCGUUGAAGCUGUUCGCAUCUUUAUCGAGGAAGCAUGGGGCGGAGGCGUGGUCGGCGGUGCGAAUCCACUCCGGAACUCUGCAGCUCCUAGUAGGAGUGUUGAAGACAGAAGACAUCUCAGAGCCUGAAAAGUUGGCCGCUGCAAGAAUAAUUUCUCAUUUUCCGGCAGAAGAUCAUUCACUGACACGGACAUUGCAGACUCUAAAUAUUGUUCCUGUCUUCGUCAAUUUUUUGUCCUCCCCAAACCAGUCCAUGCAAGAGGCGUCUCUAGUUGCUCUUGUUCGUUUCACCUUCCCUGAGUUUCCAGACCUCCAGAAACAAUUAGCAGAGAUGGGGGUGAUCCCAGUUUUGGUGACGCUCCUCGACUCCCGACGACCACGGGUGAAGAUCAGUGCUGCCCAUGCACUAGCCAACUUCUCCAAAAGUACUCCACGUUUGGUGAAGCCAAUUGCAUCCAAGAAGUGGUGGCAAUGCUUCACUCCGCCGCAGGAGUCCUGUAAAUUACAUGCGGGCGUGUGCACCAUUGAAACCACGUACUGUUUAAUUGUGGCAGAGGCCAUCCAUCCGCUUCUCAGUAUUGUUCGCGAAGACGAUGGGAAGAUUACAGAGGUGGCCUUAGAAGCAUUGUAUACUUUGCUGGAUAACGAACACUGGGAGCGAGGAUGCCAUACGAUUAAUGAAGCGAACGGGAUCUCGAUUAUUCUUCAGAAUAUGCCCAAGUGUACAGCACGGGCACAAGAGAUCUCUAUUAAUAUGUGCGAGAAGUUUUUUCGAAUACCCGCGUAUCAAGCAUCUUUUGGGCCGCCUUCUCAGAUGCACAUCAUCACCAUUGCGCAGCAGGCAUCUCCUAGUACGAGAGAUGUUGCUGGCAGAAUUCUCCGGCAACUUGACCUCCUACAGACCCAAUCACAUUACUGGAUCAGCAGCACCUCCAAAUAGUUCCACAAGGAGCUUUCUGAACUUGUUGGGAGUAGAUGAAUUAGUCUUCACCAAAGCUCUUUUAAUGUAUCAUACUAAGCGUCUCUCUGAGGAGACAGAAUUAAGGCAUGGUGCUCUUACAAAGCAGCAACACAAGAGAAGACAAGACAGACUGGAAAAUGGGAGGAUCCUGCAUGGUGGGUAGUUCAUCUUUUAAUUAUGAAACAGGAAAGGCAUGGCUAAUUUAUAGGAUAGGUGUGCUCGAGUACCUACGCCAUCAAUCAGAUUUCAAGAGACUGGCUUGUGAAUUGGAAUAAGUGUACAGACAUCCAUUGCCAGCGAGCAUUGCAACUAAUGAAUAGCGAUCCCGAAGAGAUGGCAAGUCCAGGGAUGGAAUAUCCCAAACUACGAUGAUGGAUCUGCAGUGACGCAACAGAUUGAAAAAGAAUAAAAGAUGUACAUAUAUAUAUAUAUAUAUAUACGAAAAAAAGGGAAAAAAGAAAAAAACGAUGUUCAAAUCAGUUGAUGGAAUAUGAACGAGGUUACAUUCUCAAUUGGUCAUGA